AGGGAAUUUUCCGCAAUGGGCGAAAGCCUGACGGAGCAACGCCGCGUGAGGGAUGAAGGUCUUCGGAUCGUAAACCUUUGUCUAGAGGGAAGAUAAUGACGGUACCUCUGGAGGAAGCCACGGCUAACUACGUGCCAGCAGCCGCGGUAAUACGUAGGUGGCAAGCGUUGUCCGGAAUUACUGGGCGUAAAGGGCGUGUAGGCGGCUUUUUAAGUCAGAUGUGAAAACCCUGGGCUUAACCCAGGAACUGCAUUUGAAACUGGAAGGCUUGAGGAUCGGAGAGGGCAGUGGAAUUCCCAGUGUAGCGGUGAAAUGCGUAGAUAUUGGGAGGAACACCAGUGGCGAAGGCGACUGCCUGGACGACACCUGACGCUGAGGCGCGAAAGCUAGGGGAGCAAACGG
rnacentral:rRNA from 1 species